CCCUUAGAUGUUCGGGGCCGCACGCGCGCUACACUGAAAGAAUCAGCGUGUGUCUACCCUGGUCCGGAAGGAUUGGGUAACCCGUUGAACCUCUUUCGUGCUAGGGAUUGGGGCUUGUAAUUAUUCCCCAUGAACGAGGAAUUCCCAGUAAGCGCGAGUCAUAAGCUCGCGUUGAUUACGUCCCUGCCCUUUGUACACACCGCCCGUCGCUACUACCGAUUGAAUGGUCCGGUGAAAUCUCGGGACGGCGGCUUGGUCGCUUGCGUCCGACUGCUGAAACUUGAUUAAACCAUAUCAUUUAGAGGAAGGUGAAGUCGUAACA
rnacentral:rRNA from 1 species